GUCCCUAACUGCUGGUCUCCAUGUCCCACUCCCACUGAGCUCAAGUUUCAAGUUUCAACUCCCAAUCUUAUAUUUCUCAGUUACCCAUUUUUAAGGUUGUCUCUCUUUCAUCCAUGGCCAUCACCCACAUCCUUAAACCAACCAUUUCCAUGUCCCCUUAUUCACAUUUCACUCACUCUACACACUCACCUUCAUCUCCAUUCAAAACCCACUCUAACUCACACUUGUUCACCACCAUUAUUCCUUCAAGAAUUUACAGCCACCAAACUCCACCACCAACAACACUGUCUAGAAGAUUGUUCCUACCUUCUGUUUCUGGCAUCUGGGACGCCGUAACUGGUGGUAACAAUGCUCGUGAAGCCAUACUUGCCAUUAGACGUGGAAUGCUGCUCUUUAGGCAGGGUGAUGUUCUUGGUUCUGUAGCGGAAUUCGAUAAGGCAAUUGAGUUGGACCCUCGUCAAAAGGCAUAUCUUUGGCAAAGGGGAUUAUCACUGUACUAUCUUGAUAGGUUUGAAGAAGGGGCAGAGCAAUUCCGGAUAGAUGUUGCGCAAAAUCCAAAUGACAUGGAGGAGUCCAUAUGGUGCUUUCUUUGUGAAGCUCAAUUAUAUGGAGUUAUUGAAGCAAGGAAGCGAUUUCUUGAGGUUGGCAUAGACCCACGACCAGUUAUGCGGGAAGCUUAUAACUUGUUGAAAAUUGGUGGGGAUCCUGAAAAGAUUGUUGCUGCAUUUUCUAAUGGCCAGGGGAAUGAGUACUUCUAUGCUUCUUUGUAUGCUGGGCUUUAUUAUGAAUCUGAGCAUUAUAAUCUGUGCAGAAAAAAGCUGAUGCGGCCAAGCUUCACGUACUUGCUGCAUGCCAAUCUCCUUACGGGCAGAGGUCUGAUGAUUAUAUGGCUUCACUUGCUAGGGUUCACUGUCUUUGUCGAAAUUGGAGCUCCAACUAAAAAGUUUGCCUGAUGCUUGAAGUUGUUUUCUUCAAAAGUUUGGCUGUUCUACUAACAAAUAUUUAUCUUAAGGCUUUGUUGAGGACUCUUCUUUACCAAGUUGUUAUUUGCUUCCGGAUGCAGCAUCAACAAGCAUGAAGCUGGUGUCUUUUCAUUUUCUAUGUACUACUGGUUAUGGACAAGGGCAACAACUGACACUUGAAACUUGGGGUCUAUGUAGAUCAAAUUUAGACCGAAAGAGAAAGAGUACCUUGCACCAAAAUAUUAGUGAAAGACUUGAGUUAAACUUUACAUGUGCAGUUGAAUCUUGACAGAAAAACUGAGUGUGACACUCUUGAGUCUGUGACUUGUGCCUGCUUAAGUCACAAUUGACAAUUACUUACAACCAUUUAUCUUGUGACCUUGUCAUGUUCUCUAAUAUGCCGCAUCCUCUUCUUUAUUGAUAUUAAAGCAUCAUUUUGAGGAUUAUACCUAUGUUCCAAUACCAAAGGAUACAUUGUAUAAAGGAAAUGGUGUAAAUAGUGACUUUUAGUUUGGUAGGUCAUGGUUCUUUCAAAUUUUGUUUUAUACGCCAUACGUUGAAUACUUCUCAA